GGCUCGUUAGCUCAGCUUGGCUAGAGCACUUGGCUCUUAACCAAGGGGUCGGGGGUUCAAAUAGAUUUAUUGUCUUAGAUUUUCUAGGAUAAGAUCUUGAUAGUCCCCUACGGGCCA
rnacentral:tRNA from 1 species